rnacentral:lncRNA from 1 species
AACCGGUUGGCCAUCAAGAUGGCUCACUCUCGUGGCUGACAGUCGAUUCUGGCUACUGGGCGAGAGCUCAGCUGUGGCUGUCAGGGCUCACACAUGGCUUCCCCAUGUGACUGGCAACCUGGGACCCAAGCGUGGGAGUUGGGUUCCAAGGGCGAGUGUCCGCAAAGCAAACUUUCCAAGAGACCCACUCGUUGAAGCUCCAAGGCUUCUUACAAUCUACGGGAAUGACUACUGGGAGAUUUUAAAAGAUGAGGAAACCAAGUCACGGACAGGUGAAGUAACUUGGCCCGGCCCUUUAACUCCAAGUCCAGGACUCCUUGCCUUCAUGGUUUGUAAAUCAGGAGCUGGAGUGCUGCCGUCUGUUGAAGCCCUGCUCGCCGUUCCCAGCAUGAGGCUGGGUCCCCAGAAGAGGCUGAACCUAUGCUUGCUAAUGAAACAAAGGUCUUUUCUUUGAGAACUCACCAAAAGAAAGGGUUGCUUGGGUCUAUCUCUCUGGUGUACUUCACAGGACUUGAGAAAUGCAAACACAUUUUCAUUUACUAAGUAUGCAGGACAGGCAGACUCCCCCUGAACAGCCAUCUUUGAGAAGAGAGGUGUAAACCGGAGCACCCUGGAGCAGCUCCCUGCACCCUCCUUUGCUGCAGACACGGGUUGGCAUCCACGCUUGGCAGGGACACAGUGUAUCUACGACUGUGUGGUCACAGAGGAGGAUCUUGAGAGCUGAGCGAGCCCAGAUGCAUCUCUUCCACCAUCAAAAUGUAGAUCACCCCCAACCCAUCCUGUCUGACCAUGUCGCUGCUCAUCCCAAAACACCAACUAAACACCCCUGAACACACCCUUCUGCUGAGAGACUGGGCAAGAGAAAGCCAAAUAUGGUAUUGACUCAUUCAUCUUUCGUCUGCUUUACGUCUGAUUUUCCACACAUGGGGCAAUCCCUGUGACAGAGGACGA